CCUACGGGAGGCAGCAGUGGGGAAUAUUGGACAAUGGGGGGAACCCUGAUCCAGCCAUGCCGCGUGUGUGAAGAAGGCCCUCGGGUUGUAAAGCACUUUCAGUGAGGAAGAACGCCUGGUGGUUAAUACCCAUCAGGAAAGACAUCACUCACAGAAGAAGCACCGGCUAACUCCGUGCCAGCAGCCGCGGUAAUACGGAGGGUGCGAGCGUUAAUCGAAAUUACUGGGCGUAAAGCGCGCGUAGGUGGCUUGAUAAGCCGGUUGUGAAAGCCCCGGGCUCAACCUGGGAACGGCAUCCGGAACUGUCAAGCUAGAGUGCAGGAUAGGAAGGUAGAAUUCCCGGUGUAGCGGUGAAAUGCGUAGAGAUCGGGAGGAAUACCAGUGGCGAAGGCGGCCUUCUGGACUGACACUGACACUGAGGUGCGAAAGCGUGGGUAGCAAACAGGAUUAGAUACCCUUGUAGUC
rnacentral:rRNA from 1 species